rnacentral:rRNA from 1 species
AGAGUUUGAUCCUGGCUCAGAAUGAACGCUGGCGGCGUGCUUAACACAUGCAAGUCGAACGGUAACAGAGAGAAGCUUGCUUCUCUGCUGACGAGUGGCGCACGGGUGAGUAAUAUAUAGGUUACGUGCCCCUUAGUCUGGGAUAGCCACUGGAAACGGUGAUUAAUACUGGAUAUUCCGGCUUGCAGGGAAAGGUUUUUCGCUAAGGGAUCGGCUUAUACUGUAUCAGCUAGUUGGUGAGGUAAUGGCUCACCAAGGCGAUGACACAUAGCGGGUUUGAGAGGAUGAUCCGCCACACUGGUACUGAGACACGGACCAGACUCCUACGGGAGGCAGCAGUGAGGAAUAUUGCACAAUGGGGGAAACCCUGAUGCAGCAACGCCGCGUGGAGGAUGACGCAUUUCGGUGUGUAAACUCCUUUUAUCAGAGAAGAACAUGACGGUAUCUGAUGAAUAAGCUCCGGCUAACUCCGUGCCAGCAGCCGCGGUAAUACGGAGGGAGCAAGCGUUAUUCGGAAUCACUGGGCGUAAAGGACGC